rnacentral:rRNA from 2 species
AGCGCCGGCCAAUGUUCCUUGGAACAGGACGUCGCAGAGGGUGAGAAUCCCGUGCCAGGCCGGCUGCCUCUUCCCGGGUGAAGGGCCUUCGACGAGUCGAGUUGUUUGGGAAUGCAGCUCCAAGUGGGUGGUAAAUUUCAUCUAAAGCUAAAUACCGGCGGGAGACCGAUAGCGCACAAGUAGAGUGAUCGAAAGAUGAAAAGCACUUUGAAAAUAGAGUCAAAAAGUACGUGAAAUUGUUGAAAGGGAAGCGCUUGAGACCAGACUCAGACCCGAGCAAACACCGUGCCCCUCGGGGCCGUGCAAUUGCCCGGGGCUGGGCCAGCAUCAGUCGGCGUGGCGGGACAAAGGCGUGGGGAAUGUGGCUCCCCUCGGGGAGUGUUAUUAGGCCCACGCUGAAUGCCGCCGACGUCGACUGAGGACCGCGCCUCGGCUAGGAUGCUGGCUUAAUGGCCUUCAGCGACCCGUCUUGAAACACGGACCAAGGAGUCUAACAUCUAUGCGAGUGUUUGGGCGUCAAACCCUUGCGCGUAAUGAAAGUGAGCGGAGGUGGGAACCCCUCGCGGGGCGCACCAUCGACCGAUCCUGAUGUCUUCGGAUGGAUUUGAGUAGGAGCAUAGCUGUUGGGACCCGAAAGAUGGUGAACUAUGCCUGAAUAGGGUGAAGCCAGAGGAAACUCUGGUGGAGGCUCGCAGCGGUUCUGACGUGC